GGAAGAGAACGGAAGAGGAAAGAAAACGCAGACUUGAGCAGGAUCUGUUGGAAAAGAGGAAAAUACAGCGUGAAUUAGCAAAAAGAGCUGAGCAGAUUGAGGACAUAAACAAUACGGGAACCGAAUCUGCAUCAGAGGAAGGUGAUGACUCACUGCUUAUAACAGUGGUGCCUGCAAAAUCAUACAAAAAAUCUG